rnacentral:rRNA from 1 species
UACGUAGGGCGCAAGCGUUAUCCGGAAUUAUUGGGCGUAAAGAGCUCGUAGGCGGUUUGUCGCGUCUGCCGUGAAAGUCCGGGGCUCAACUCCGGAUCUGCGGUGGGUACGGGCAGACUAGAGUGAUGUAGGGGAGACUGGAAUUCCUGGUGUAGCGGUGAAAUGCGCAGAUAUCAGGAGGAACACCGAGUGCGAAGGCAGGUCUCUGGGCCGUAUGACUGCGUGAGGAGCGAAAGCGUGGGGAGCGAACAGGAUAGA